UACAGAGGGUGCGAGCGUUAAUCGGAAUUACUGGGCGUAAAGCGUGCGUAGACGGUUGCGUAAGUCGGAUGUGAAAUCCCCGGGCUCAACCUGGGAAUUGCAUUCGAGACUGCGUAGCUGGGGUGCGGAAGAGGGAAGCGGAAUUUCCGGUGUAGCGGUGAAAUGCGUAGAUAUCGGAAGAAACAUCAGUGGCGAAAGCGGCUUCCUGGUCCAGCACCGACGUUCAGGCACGAAAGCGUGGGGAGCAAACAGG
rnacentral:rRNA from 1 species